rnacentral:tRNA from 1 species
CUUCUCGUAGUAUAGUGGUAACGCGUCUGUCUAGUGAGUUGGAGUCGUGAGUUCGAGUCUCACCGAGAGCA